UGCAGAACUGCUGUUACUAGCAAAGGGUGGUCAGGAUAGGUAGGCCAGAGAGAAGAGCCAGGGAGAAUUACUGACAGUUCUCUUUCAAAUGUUAUUAAUGAGAAAUUAAUUGGUGGCUUCAGCUCCCCAGAAGUCCUCUGCCACACUACCACAGGAUCAUAGAAAGGUUGAAGCCUGGCUGGCUUAAGCAGUUCAGGGUAUUAUCUGAGAGGAAUUUCAACUUUCCUUGGCAACAGGAGACGAAAGAAGCUCAGUAAGAGUGUCCCACCACUGAGUGUACUUCCCAGAACAUGCUGCUUCCCAGUGUCCUUGCUUCUGCUGUGGAUAUGGGGAGACGAGCUUCAUGAUUAUUAGCAGAGUCUGCACAAUAUAUUUUGUAUGUGUC
rnacentral:lncRNA from 1 species